rnacentral:rRNA from 1 species
CCUAGCCUGGUAGCGGGGGAUAACUAUUGGAAACGAUAGCUAAUACCGCAUAACAGUAGAUAUUGCAUGAUAUCUACUUGAAAGGUGCAAUUGCAUCACUACCAGAUGGACCUGCGUUGUAUUAGCUAGUUGGUGAGGUAACGGCUCACCAAGGCAACGAUACAUAGCCGACCUGAGAGGGUGAUCGGCCACACUGGGACUGAGACACGGCCCAG